rnacentral:rRNA from 1 species
AGAUACUAAUCAUCCGUUUGUCUUACAUUGCUUCCAUUUCAAAUCAGACACACCGUCUGCCUUGACCGAAAUUGUUUUUUAUCCUGUAUGCAGUUGUCAGGGAACUUGGAGUUCCUUGCCUUCAGACACCUGACCAGUUCAAACAAGCGCAAGCUUGGAUGACCUCUGAUCAGAAGUCUGGUGGUCAUGGCACAGUGGCACCACCCGUUCCCAUUCCGAACACGGAAGUGAAACGCUGUUGCGCCGAUGAUAGUUGGGCGAUAGGCCCUGCGAAAGUAGGUCGCUGCCAGUU